rnacentral:rRNA from 1 species
UGCGUAGGUGGUUGGUUAAGUUUGAGGUGAAAGCUCCGAGCUCAACUCGGAAAAUGCCUUGAAGACUAUCUGACUAGAGGAUUGGAGGGGAGAUUGGAAUUCUCGGUGUAGCAGUGAAAUGCGUAGAUAUCGAGAGGAACACCAGUGGCGAAGGCGAAUCUCUGGACAAUUCCUGACACUGAGGCAUGAAAGCCAAGGGAGCAAACG